UUUAUUUAAGGGUGGAAAGGGCCCCGCCAGGCCUUGUAAUUAUAUUACGAGGUGAGAAAAUCGGAUGCAGAGUUGCCCGUCUGCUAAAUAAA
rnacentral:ncRNA from 1 species